rnacentral:rRNA from 1 species
GUCAACGGCCAUACUAUGCUGAAAGUACCGGUUCUCGUCCGAUCACCGAAGUCAAGCAGCAUCGGGCGCAGUCAGUACUUGGGAGGGUGACCACCUGGGAACACUGCGUGCUGUUGACA